UUUAGAGCAGCAAGAUGAGUUGCAGGAAGCACUGGCAGAUCCUCAUGGUUUAGCCUGGCAGGUGCUGAAUGCAGCAUGGGAUGCAUGCAUUGUGGUUGCAAGCGAGAAUGCUUUUCAUUGCCAUGUAGAGUAGGCUAUAACAAGAUACUAGACACUGUGAAGCCGGUAAAUGAUCCAGAAGGGAAACAUUUCUCAUCCUUU